UCCAAAAACAAUGCGCGUAUGUGCGUGCGUGCGUGCGUGCGUGCGUGCGUGCGUGUGUGUGUGUGUGUGUGUAUCCACAAAAAUAUAUGGUUCUUUUUUUUAACAGAUGUAAACUAAUGAUACCCCUAUCAGUGUGGGGCUAGUCAGUUCCUUCUAGAAAACAGAAUAGGCAAUGGUGGUGGGGAGUACCUCUGAGAGUGGGUCUUAAGAGGCGCUGGACUUCCUGUUUGCACACGCAGUGUUCUUGCUCUGGGGGACACCGGCUGUCCUAUUGUGAGGAUAUUCAACCUUGCACACGGGUUCUCCAGCCCCCUCAGGCCUCCGGAUAGCUACAGUGUUGGUCGGGAGAGUCGAAGUCGGCACUUCCCGGUCUGAACAGAUCUCAUAAUCCAGACCGUGAGGAAACUGGGGUAAUAAGGGUGCUUUAAUCUGAUCAGCCUUGUGGUGUUUGUUAUGCAGAAAUACACAGAAUUGGUGCAAUGUGAAGGGAGAGGAUCGGCGGCGGCCGGCAGAUGACUUCGUUCUGGAAGGGAAGAAGGGAAUCAGGAAGUUUCGGAUGCGCGUAGACAGCAGACGUUCUGCCUCCUCCAGCAAUGGAGGGAAUCCGGCAGCAGGGAUCCGCCCCGAGACUGGGCAGUAAGGCUCCGCUGAGAUAGAGACUCCAGGUAAGCAGGAAGAUGGGAGAGCUCCUGUGAGGUAUUACACAGAAAGUCUGGCAGAGUCAAGUCAGGGAAACUCGCGCUGUCUUGAGCAGAGUCCUUAGCGCCCUGGGAGAGGAAGCUGAGAAGGCAGACCGUGGCCCUUGCCCAGCACUGGGAAGAAGAGCUCUCCGGUCAGAUAGGAAAGGAGAACAACAGGAUUCUGAUGCCAGCGUGGGAGUGGCUGCGUGAGACCCCGGGACAGCGGGGCAUGUGACAGACUGCGUGAGACCCCAGGACAGCGGGGCACGUGACUGACUGCGUGAAACACCUAGACCAGACAGUAGGGCACAAGACAGGUUGAGCUGAGGGAUUGAACUUCUGAAGCAAUUGUAAUCUGGGUAACGCAUGCCACAUUUUAGUCAUGUUUACAUUGUCAAGAAGUUUCUUGGUGGGUAGGCCUUGCUUCCCCAGUGAGCUGAUAAACUUGGGGUACUCACGGUGGCUGGUGCAUUUUUACCCCUGUAGCAGAUAGCAUUCAGCUUCAUGGGGCAUUGUGCAUUUGUUGGAUCAGUGCAUAAAACAUUCUAGUCUCUUUUGUGUGUUUUUCUAUUCCAGUUUUCCUCCUUCACAAUGAGCUUCUGAUUGAGGCCAAAGGUCUGCUCCUCUAGGUCGUUGUCUGUGUUCUGCUCUUGUCUGUAAGAACCAGGGUCUCUGGGUGCUUCUAAGAAGCGUUACACUAUAACAAAAAGAGGAACUAUAUGCCUGAUUGGCUCAAAAUAAUAAGUCUAAUUAUGCCUACGUGAUGCAACCUUGAAAUCAGCCUUGAUUGAUUUCAGUGUGAAAACAAAACAGAACAAAAAAAAAAAACCCCAAAAACAGGAUAAUGGUGGAGAGAGACUCACUGUCUCCUGGAGCAUUGAUAAUCAGAGGCCUCCAUCCAGAGAAAUCUUAAUGCAGCUUACGUAUAUGAGACCCUGUGAAGGGUAUCAGGAUUCUGAGAUUUGUUAGUACAAAUUAUUAUUUAUGUUUGAGGGUUGUUUGUUUGUUUGUUUUUCAAGACAGAGUUACUCUGUGUAUCCCUGGCUGUCCUGGAAUUGGAUCUGUAGACCAGGCUGGCAUCAAACUUGGAGAUCCGCCUACCUCUGCCUCUCAAGUGCUGGGAUGAAGGGUGUGUGCUACUACCAUCCGGCUUAUGUAUUUUUUAACUCAUGCAUUCUGCUUUGAUUGUUUACCUUGGAGGGUGGAGAAAGACCUGUUAACGUCUGAUACAAUGACUGAGCACCAGUAAACCACUGGACGGAGUCGUCAGCUGCAAUGCUGUAUGUAGGCAAAUACCCAGUGCCGUUUGAGGACAGACUGCUCAAACAUACAAGCCGAGGGUCUGCAAGAGAAGGCAGAGGAGACAUCCUGCCAUCGAUGGACACAUCAUACGUCGCUGCUGUGGCUCCCAGAGAAGUACCCAAUUGUGUUAGGAGAACGUUACCGGGGGAUUUCCUUCUUUGCCGAUUCCUGCUCUCUAAGCUCUGGAGCAGCACCUCUUCAUUCAUCCUAGCGGCAUCCGGAGCUGCGGUGUGUCAUGAAGUACACUCUUUUGUCCAAUCAGCCACACCCACAAAAUGUUCAUCGCAAUGAGUCAUCGGUCUGGUUCAAGGCCUCUGGCACUCCAUCACCUCUGGACCCUCAUGGAAACUGCUCACGGAUAUCCUGCCAUUGCUCCGAGUCAUGGAGAUCCCGCAGCUGUCAUUCCACAGGACCAGUCCCUUCAUGAGCUCCAGCAGGUCACAGAUGGGGUAGACCCAGGAUGUGGGUCUGGGUGGCAGCUGAGCUAAUUGGUCUGGGCCGCUGGGACCAUCCUCUCCGGUGAUGGGGAGAGCCAGCUCUCCGAGGCCCACGCCAUCAUGCCUGUGGUGAGGGAUGGGGCCAUCUGGAGUGCAGGGUCCGGUGGGGGGAAAAGAACAGGAGACAGUUCUCCCAUGGGGGCAGGGCCAGCUCUCCAGCUGCAGUGUCCAGUGAGGGACAGGGCCAGCCAUCUCAGGGACAACGAGCGCAACCCUGGCUCACACGGCCUUUGGAUUUCAACAUGCCUGGUCCCUUCGAUCCCCUGUGGCAACACCGGCCACGGACAUCACCACAGACCCCAGUUCAGCAGGAACACAGACCCAGACACUGCCCUCUGCAGCAGCUUGGGCCCGGAGGUCACUAUGGCCCCUGUGGUAACACAGGCCAUCCAGACCAGCGUGGCCCUUGGACACCACCAUGGGCUCAGGUCAUGGUCAUGGUCCAGGCCCCAGACAUCCGAACAGCCCUCGGUGGCAACAGGAGCCGCGGUGGGAACAGUUUUUUAAUCACUGUUUCCAGUGUAUGGUUCAGCUGAGGGGCAGGUGAAAGGACCUGCUCAGACCCGCAAGGUCAAGUCCUCAGCACAAAGGAGAUCCAUUUGCCCCAGAGGGACAGAGGGCAGGAGAUAAGAGACAAAGACAGGAGACAGAG